rnacentral:rRNA from 1 species
ACGGGAGGCAGCAGUGGGGAAUAUUGGACAAUGGGGGGAACCCUGAUCCAGCGACGCCGCGUGAGUGAAGAAGUAUUUCGGUAUGUAAAGCUCUAUCAGCAGGGAAGAUGAUGACGGUACCUGACUAAGAAGCACCGGCUAAAUACGUGCCAGCAGCCGCGGUAAUACGUAUGGUGCAAGCGUUAUCCGGAUUUACUGGGUGUAAAGGGAGCGUAGGCGGCUAUGCAAGUCAGGUGUGAAAACCCGGGGCUCAACCCCGUGGAUUGCUUUUGAGACUGUGUUGCUGGAGUACAGGAGGGGCAGGCGGAAUUCCUGGUGUAGCGGUGAAAUGCGUAGAUAUCAGGAGGAACACCGGUGGCGAAGGCGGCCUGCUGGACUGUAACUGACGCUGAGGCUCGAAGGCGUGGGGAGCAAACAGGAUUAGAUACCCUGGUA